CAUCCGUGAAAAUCUCAGUACUUAAACCUAGGCUUAUUUCUUGUUUAUGAAUGGUAGGAAGAAAACAUCCCUGUGUCUGUUCACCAUUUAGUCACAAUCCUAAGAUGGAAGCAGGCUGGCUCUUCAUUUUCUCACAAUGAUGUGAUGAUAUCCCAUUAUUAUUCUGUACCUUAAAUAUAUCCCUUCUUGAAAAAACUCCUUAAAAGACAUUAGAAGGAUUGAUAAACUCAGACUGUGUCUGUUCACCAUUUAGUCACAAUCCUAAUAUGGAAGCAGCCACGUGAAGUAAUAUGGAUACAACUAUAGGUCAUUAUGUCAAGAAGAUAAGCUAAGCACAAGAACGAAAAAUACCACAUGAUUUAAUGCAUAUGUGGAAAUCUUUACACUAUGGAUAUCAAUAAAAAUGGAUACUAUGAA